rnacentral:misc_RNA from 1 species
GAAAUCCUGGCGCAAUGUGACGCCAACUCAGAUGGGAAAAUCACGUUGGAGGAAUUCCUAAAAGGCAUUGACGGCUAGACGCGGGCCUCUAUGCAAUAAAGUUUAACGCUCAGCUUAAAAAGUCUCACACCAGUUACUUACUUUACUUUGAGAAUAAGCACCAAUUCUAUUUGUCCCGCGUAUGACGCAAUAGCGGCCUUUGAUAGUGUUCGAAUCGAAUUCAAUAAAUUACUGCCAAGCUGUGAAGAGCAGUUUUCGCUGAAACAAGUACACGCAUGAAUAACCAUUUGUUGUUAUUUGUCGCUUUUUUAUGAGAAAUAUUAUUGGUAAAACAACCGAAUUUAGGCGAAAUUGAACGCUAAUAAGGUUAAAAUUUCGGAAUUUCAAUAGUAUUCUGUUUCGGAAAGAAAAAGAAAAUGUUCUAAUUUUUUUCCUAAUUUUUUUGUUAACUUUACUUAAAUUAUAAUAAUGUUCUAUAACUAGGACAUUUCUUACAAAUUUCUUGUAUCAUUUACGAUGUAUUAAAAAAUGUAACCAUUAUUAACUGUGCAACAUUGCAAAAAGCCUCCUUUUUUUCUUAAGUGUAAAGCAUAUUUGAAGCAAUACUAUAUGGACAUUAUAAUUUUUUACAUACUUCUCGUUCUUUAAUAAAAAUUUAAUUAAAAUUGCUAGCUGUUCCAUUUUGAAAUAAAUUGUAGAAAU